UUAUGGCUCAGAACGAACGCUGGUGACGUGUCUUAUACAUGCAAGUCGAGCGAGGCAGCAAUGCCGAGCGGCGAACGGGUGAGUAACGCGUAAGCAAUCUGCCCCAUAUCAGGAAAUACCCGUGCCAACGCGCGGUUAAUGUCCAGGAGAGUGGCUCCUUGCAUGAGGAGUUGACUAGAGAUUUAUCGGUAUGGGAUGAGCUUGCGUCCGAUUAGCUAGUUGGCGGGGCAACGGCCCACCAAGGCGACGAUCGGUAGCCGGCCUGAGAGGGUGAUCGGCCACAUUGGGACUGAGAUACGGCCCAGACUCCUACGGGAGGCAGCAGUAGGGAAUAUUGCACAAUGGGGGAAACCCUGAUGCAGCAACGCCACGUGUGGGAAGAAGCAUUUCGGUGUGUAAACCACUGUCAUGAGGGAAUAAGGCCCUUAUUCGUAAGGGAUUGAAUGUACCUUGAGAGGAAGCACCGGCAAACUUCGUGCCAGCCGCAGC
rnacentral:rRNA from 1 species